CCUAGUAACGCAGGCCUGGAAACAGGCCUGGUCACUACCCUUACUGUACGAGUACCUAUUGUUCUCCUUCGGCGGGGCGACCCGCCGCUGGAACCAAACAAACAACCUUUUUGCAUCCAGUAUUACCUGUUCUGAUAAACGUAAUUAAUUA
rnacentral:misc_RNA from 1 species